GUGUCAGCAGCCGCGGUAAGACGAACCGUCCGAACGUUAUUCGGAAUCAUUGGGCUUAAAGGGUGCGUAGGCUGUGCAGUAAGUUGGGUGUGAAAUCCCUCGGCUCAACCGAGGAACUGCGCCCAAGACUGCUGUACUAGAGGAAGAUAGGGGUAAGCGGAACUGAUGGUGGAGCGGUGAAAUGCGUUGAUAUCAUCAGGAACACCGGUGGCGAAAGCGGCUUACUGGAUCUUUUCUGACGCUGAUGCACGAAAGCUAGGGGAGCGAACGGGAUUAGAUACCCCGGUAGUCCUAGCCGUAAACGAUGAGCACUUGGUCGGAGGCUCUCCCAUAGGCUUCUGGCCGUAGCGAAAGUGUUAAGUGCUCCGCCUGGGGAGUAUGGUCGCAAGGCUGAA
rnacentral:rRNA from 1 species